rnacentral:lncRNA from 1 species
CGAGAAUCGAACUUGGGUCCUUGCGCUUGCGUAGCAGGCGGUGAAACCACUGAGCUAAAUCCCUGGCCCCGUGUCCUUUGUUUUUUAAGAUUAUUUAUAGUUUGGUCCAGGGAUGUAGUUCAGUGGUUCUGCCGCCUGCCUUGCAAGCCUAAGGUCCCAAGUUCAAUCCCUGGUACAAAAAAGCAAUGAAGAAGAUUAUUUAUACUUGGAGUUUCUCCUGUAAGAGAAGUCACGUGAUACUCAGGCCUGUAAAGUUUUACUGGAACCCCACCCAUCCCCUAAAAAUUGAAGUGAAAUUUCUUUUCCUCUGUGGUGUGUUCUGCCGAGUUUCAAGACUUCUGUCCCUCUCGCCUCUGUCUCCUGACCAAAGCCUUCCUUUCUCUCCUUGUUUAGACUCGAAUUGCUUCAACUGGCGGGAAGGGGCUCUUAAUGGGAACUACCUUAAACGAAAGCUUCAGGAUGCAGCAGAACAACUAAAACAGUAUGAAAUAAACGCCACUCCUAAAGGCUGGUCCUGCCACUGGGACAGGACCUCUGGAAGCACCUACUCCUGAUUAACCUCGGCGAAGUUAAGGGAAGCUUCGUGGCUGAAGAGUGAACGAAGAACAAGAUUACUAUCCUCUGCCAGCAGCUCCCAGAUCCUCUCCCUCUCUUUAGCUUUCACUGUGUUUGAUAUCAAGAAUAUGAACUGUGAAUUCCACGGUCCAAGAGGGGAAGAGUCACCUUUCACAAACUGCGCUGUUCUCUUCUUUGGAAGGGAAAUUAGUGUUCUAGGCGAUUGAGUCCCUCCAUUAAUGCAGCUGCACCCUGUUACGCAUUGGCAAAAAGCAAAAAGAGAGAUGUUGUCAGAGUCAUGUGCUGGAGCGGGGGCGCAGGGCUGUAUUCACAGAGCUGCUGUGUGCAAAUAGCUUUGAGCUCUCCCUGGUUCUCCCUCCUCAGUGUCAAAGCUCUUUGUCGCCUUUGUGAAUAGCAGUCCGUAAGAGGAGGUUCAUCCCCGUGCAAGCAGACUGCUGCACUGGGGCAGGACCGAGUGCAAGUGUCCUUGUAGGGGAGCGGGCUCUGAAACCUGUGUUUUCUUUCUUGUAAUUUAGGGAUCAUAGACGGUAUUUCUAUGUAAACGAGCAGUCGGGCGAGUCUCAGUGGGAGUUCCCAGAUGGUGAGGAGGAGGAGGAGGAAGGCCAUGCACCAGAGAGUAGAGAUGAGACUCUUCCCAAAUCCACCUUGAAGGACAAACCUGGCGCUGAAUCAAAUGCCACAGAGUCCUCUGAGAACCCCACAGGUGAGAUGGUUUACCCUGCCUGGUUGGACUGCACUGAUUUUAGAAAACAAGUCAGGAAUUUAUCAGAAAAGAAAAGCAUUUAUGACAUAAGCUAAAUUUUAGAGUGACUUGAACUAAAUGUAUGAGUUAUACUAAAAUGAAGGCAGUGACUGGUUUGGAAAUCAGCAUAACAUGGAUCAGACUGUGCCCCCGAAUGAGAAGAGGGACCAGGACCACUGUGUGUCUGCCGGGCAUCAUGGGCCACGCCUGUCCUUGCAGCGUUCUGGAGGCUGGCAGGUCGUAGCCCAGCUCGGGCAGUUAGUGACUUAGUGACACCUUGAUGGUGCUUAGUCUCUCGGUGUUGCCACCACAUUUGCCACUUCCACUGCUCUUUAAAGCGUCUUUGGUACAAAUCAGAGUGACAGGAGGAAAUGCCAUGAACUGGUACCAUACUCUUUUCAGAAGAGCUAGAUGGAGCCAGGGAUGUAGCUCAGUGGCACCUCACCUGCCUGGCAAGCGCAAGGUCCUGAGUUCGAUCCCCAGGAUGGGCGAUGGGGGACCUAGAUAAUUGAUCCUUGAAAAAAUUGUCAGCAUCAUUCGUCCGUCACUUUCCUAAUUGCUGGGAAAAAUUACCUGACACCCAUGGUUUAGAGGAAGAGAGGUUUCUUUUGGCUCCAAGGCAAGGGGCCUGGUAGAAAGGCCUGGGUAGAGGGAAGCUGAGAACAGAGGCACCCAGGAGGGAGAUGAACACUUCUGGUCACACCCGGAAGUGACCAGACCCUCCUCCCAAGACCCAGUCGGUGAUAGCACCCCUCAGAGCAUUCCCAUCCAGAGCCCUGCCUGUGAGCAGCAGAGGCAAGGCGUGGGGAGCGCUCUCGGUCCAAAGCAUCACAGCAAUACAGCAUGCAGCACUCAGACCCAGGACUCACCCCAUUUAACAAGGGGGCUUUCAUAGCCCCUUAGUUACUGUGAGGAUCCAGUUAGCUCUUCAGAAGAGCCACAACUUGAUUGCCACUUCAUAAAAGAAACUACAUUUCCCCCCAUUCCAUUUCACUUGGAAUGGUAAAUAAAGAAAAUGGUAAAGCAUAGACUAUGACUUAACAACCUUUUGAUCUUAAAACACAUUAGCUGGUUGUUAAAGUUGCAAAGGCAAGAGUCUUCUCCCUGUCAGAAACAGUGGUCUGCUGGCUGCUGGCUGCUGGCUGCUGGCUGCUGGGUCCCGGUAGCAGUGUCCUGGUGAUGCACAGAUGAUGCCCUCUGGUCCCUGAGGACCGCAGGUCUUAGGCAGCCCGGACGCCACAAUCAGCUCCCCUGAAGGCCGCAGUGACAGUUUCGGGAACAGCGAAGGGCGGCUUGCGUCUACUCACAUCUCCGCAGUGCCUGGCGUUCCUCUUGUGCACGUGGCCCUCCUUGGGUGCUGUGGUGGCCUUGCCUGCGGAUCUCUGUAGUGCAGAUGGCGCACUCCUGACUGCAACUGCGCCGCCUGUGCUGGGAGUCAGGGCCUCUGCAGUUGCUCAGCUGGAGAGGGCGCCUGGGAGCUGAGUAGCCAAGGAGCCUGCAGAGCCGCUGUCCAUGCCGCAAGGGCGGUGCUGCCCAGUGCAAGAUCAGAGUCGCGCUUAGCUGAUUAAAACAGAAUAAACUGCUGCAGAGAAAAAAAAAAACAUUGACAAACUGACAUUUAUUUUCAAGCCUCUCUAGUGAGCAUACCUAGAACAUGAUAAGCUUUGUCUAAAUAAAAUGCAAAUCAGCCGGGCAUGGUCACACAUGUCUGUAACCCAGCACUCUGGGACGCUGAGGCAGGAAGGUUGGCAAGUUCAAACUCAGACUAGGAAACUUAGCAAGACACUGUCUCAAAAUAAAAUAUGAGGGCGGGGAUUUAGUUCAGUGGUGCUGCCGCCUGCCUUGCAAGUGCAGGGUCCUGAGUUUGAUCCCCUACCAAAAAAAUAAAUAAAUAAAACUUUAAAACCCGAAAAGGUCUGAAGGUGUAGCUCAGUGUAAAGGCCUUGUGUUCAGUACCCAGACCACACACACACACACACACACACACACACACACACACACACACACACACACACACACACACACACGGUAAAGCCAGGUGUGGUGGUGCACUCCUGUAGUCCUGGUGCCUGAGAGGCUGGGGGCGGGGCUCACAAGUUUGAGGUCAGCCUGAAUUAUAGACUCAGAGUCUGUCUCCGAAAAGUGAAUUUGUUUAUUUAUAUAUUUGUAAUUAGAGAAUACUUCAUUAGUUUCUGUAAUCAAACCCAUGUAGGUAAAAUGUUAUAUGUUUAAUACAGCAUAUAACUCCCUAUACAAUAGAAAAAAAUUAUCUAGUGUUUCCAGACCAGUAUUGUUGUUAAUCUUGUUCAGUGCCGUUCUAAGUACUAGCACAGCUAGUUUCCAAAACUUCAGAUUUUAUAUAUAACAGUAAUUACGGUAUCAAAUUUUAAGAAUAAAAAUAUUGCAAUUUCUGGAGUUGUAGCUUAGCACAGUCCCUGGGGUCACUCCCCAGUACUUCAAAACAAAAUGAAGAAAGAAAGAUAAAGAACAGUGGGCUAGAAUAUGUAUGAGCCCAUGGCUGCAUCCCCAGCGUGGGGCGGCGAACCUUGUAGAGACUUCAGUGACACAAGCAGCCUGCUGUGGCACACGCGCCUGAGGUUCACCACCGCUGGCCUAGCAGCUCAGAAGCAAAAGAGAAGAGUGACUGCACUAGGAGGCACCAGGGGAGUGUGGAGUUGGCUUUCUCUUUUGUGGUUUGGUCCUGGGACGGAAGCUGGAGCCUCGCAUGUGCCCUCGAAGGCUCUGCCUGCCACGCUGCAGGACACACCCACACUUGCACGGCCCUUCUCCACGCAAGCCCUCAAUGGGUGGCACCUGGGUGUGCGGCAAGCGAUCUCUUUGCUGCCUCACAUGUCAUUCAGGUUGCACCAAGCUGCCUUUUGUAACCUCCAUGGAAACUGGCCUUUGAUUCAAAAUAGCAGUCAUUUAUUUCUCUGGGGGUAAAUAAGAGAGGCUGCUUAUAAAUAUAAAUUUAAGGCUGGGGAUUUAGUUCAGUGGUUCUGCCGCCUGCUUCACAAGCACAAGGACCCGAGUUUACGAUCCCCAGUACCCAAAAAAUAAAUAAACAAAUAUAAAUUUAUUUUAAUCUCUGGACUUCAGAAUUAAAUAUUUUCUUCCAUGAGAGAAAUGCUAACUAGAUUAAGCGUAGAAACAAGGAGAACUGUCAUGUUAGCAGAUGUUGGUGGUAUACAAGUCAGGGUUUCCUGGUUUGUCUGUAUUUACUCAAAGGAAGUAAUUACCAGUGUUCAGGAUGCAGCUUUUAUGUUUUGAGUGAACGUAGUUUGAGAUUCAAACAUUGUAAGAAUGCUCGUUGGUGACUAAAUUUGUCAAGUGCGGUUUACUAUUCACACAAGCUUUAGUUCAUUCCGAUGAGCAUGAUGGGAAGGCACGGAGCAUGUUAAAUUGACCUUGGCCUGCCGUGCAUCCUGGGCCCCUCCACCCUGCAGCCUGUUACCCCAGCAACGUCACCAGUAUCGCCCGGCGCUGCUGGGUGAGGAGCCUGCUGUUAACAGCUCCACUCCACAUGUUGUGGCUAGUUUGGUAGAAGGAAGUUUAAUUUUUAGUUAAUAAUUAAUCUCCAAUGUUUAUUACCUUAGUUCUGAUGUGAUUAUUUUAUUUUGAGACAGGGCCUGGCUUUGUAGUUCAGGCUGCCCUGGAACUCGCCACCAUGCCCAGCUAAUUCUGUUGUAAUCUUGAUGUGCUGUGAUCUAAUUUAGGCUUCCUGGCCAUACCCAGGCUUUGUCUGUAAGUUCACACAUCAGUUAAUAUCACAUAAUACCAAAUACAAAAAUGUAGUGAGUCAUUUGAUUUCUUUUAGCUGGAAAACUGCAUUUAUGUUUUCCUAGUACCUAAGUUUUUCAGUGGCAUUUUCAUAGCAGUACAAGAAUGUCUCCUCAUAUAAAAACAAUGUAAACCGUAUUAAGGUCUUUUUUACACUGUGUAUCAUGUAUCUGUUCCAUAAAAGCAGAGCUACUCUAAAUGCCAAAUACCUUCUGAUUGCUUGGGUUUUGCCUUGUCAGACACUGCCAGUGCAGUAUUUUGGGGUUUUUUGAGGCAGGGUCCCUGUGUGACCUACACUGGCCUUGAAAUUUGCCAUCCUCCUGCUUCAGCCUCCUGAGUGCUGGAGUUACAACCAUGCACCACCACACCAGCUCUGUGCCACUUUAGACCAUGAAACUUGACAGGUAACGUAUCUGGAGUCCAUGAAAAGUGAGAUUUAUCUUGAGAUUUCUAAAUCUCUUGGACUCGUGAUAUUUCAGCAGGCCGUCUUGGUGAGGUAGGAAGUACUCAGGGGAAUCAGACUGGGCUCCGGCGUGGCCCUGGCACUGUAGCCAGGUGGUGUUGGGAAUCAGUACCUGCCUGGGUUUCAUUACCUUUAAAGCAAGAGGGUGAAUUAGAUGAUUUCUCAUGUCUCUUCUACUCCUAAAUUCUGUGAUUUUAGGGAGAAAAUCCCUCAGCACUCCUGGGAUGUAGAUCUAAUAGUCCCAUAUAUUGUGGCACUUCCCUCCUGGCGCUAAGGAGGGAUGGGGAAGGCUCCAAGUAAGUAUAUCCUCCCCCCUCCUCUCCCUUCACCUUCCCCUGCAGAGCAGCGGCAGGAGUCCUGGUGGCCGUCUCCAGAUUGGAGAAAGGCUGGUGCUGCCGCUUUUCAGAUGCAGUCUCUUGACUCAGACUUGAGCAACAGCAGUCUUAGAUCCUCUGCAUCCUGAAACACUGUUUUUGGAAAUCUGAGUUUUCAUUUACCUGGGGGAUGUGCCCUCCUAAAUUUCCCCUUUGGCAUUGCAGAGCUAAGUGUGGCCCUCGCCUCACCUGGUUGCUGAUUUACAGGUGCAGGUGACUCAGACACAGGAAGGAUGCAGUCGGUGGUGGGUUUUACUCUAGCUGCUCAGCAGGCGGGGGCGGGCAUGCGGGGAGCGGUGCCCGGUGUCCAGUGUCUCCGCACACUCGCUCAGAAGUAAAGGGUGGAGCCAGGGUCACAAGUGUGCACUUGGAAGCAAGAGGACCCUAGCCUAGUGUAUCUCGGUCGAAACUGAACAUCAGAAAUGGAAGAUUCUCAACUCCAGACUGAGGCCCGAGGGUCUCUGGGUCACAGGGAGCGAGGUGUGUGAGCCAGCCGGGGACGUGCUCGCCCCAGGCUGGUCCCUGCCCCUUGGCAUGGAGGCCCCUGGGAGCCGAGCUGCGUCCUGGGUCCUGUCCCCACUUCUGACCCGCCUUGUGUGCUCGCUGGCCCGGCCUGGCCUGAUGGCCGCGUCCCUCCAGCCCGCCUUGGUUCCCUGUGGCGCUGCUUCCCUAACACCUCUCUGUUUCCGUAGGUUCCCUUUGUAAAGAAUCCUUUUCUGCUCCAGCAUCGUCUGCGUCACUCAUGCCGCUCACUCCCUUCUGGACCCUGCUGCAGUCCAGUGUGCCUGUGCUGCAGCCACCCCUGCCGCUGGAGAUGCCCCCGCCGCCGCCGCCUCCAGAGUCCCGCCCCGCCCCCGCCCCCACCCCCCCCCGGCCGAGGACGGCGAGAUCCAGGAGGUGGAGAUGGAGGACGAGGGCAGCGAGGAGCCUCCCGCGCCCGGGACAGAGGAGGACCCACCUCUGAAGCCGGCAGCACAGGCCGCCGUUGUCACCAGCCAGAGCACUGUGGAUGCCGCCAUGUCCAGCCCUCCUUCCACUAAGGCGGUGAAGAGAAAGGCGGCGGAAAUGAGCAGCGCAGUGGUUCAGCGGUCGGCCACCAUCGGGAGCUCCCGGUCAUCUACAGCCAGCCGCCCGUGGCCACAGGUCUCCAGGCCACAGGGAUUGGACACCAGCCCGUGUCCCUGAGCCACAUGGCCACAGGCAUGGGUCACCAGGCCCGAGGGUUGAGCCUGCAGUCCAGCUACCUGGGCCUCACGCCGGCCAUCGUGAGUUACACCGAGUGCUCUGUCCCCAUGGGAGUGACCACGGCCUCCCUGCAGCCAGUCCAGGCGCGCCCGGCAGCCGCUGCCAUAGAGCCACCACCUCCACCACCGCCGCCUCCUUCUACGCUGCCACCACCACCAGCUCCCAAGCGCCACCCCGGAGAAGACAAAGAAAGGAAAGAAAGAUAAGGCGAAGAAGAGUAAAACCAAAAUGCCAUCUUUGGUAAAGAAGUGGCAGAGUAUCCAGCGAGUUAGAUGAGGAGGAAAACUCAAGUUCCAGCGAGGAGGACCGGGAAUCCACAGCCCAGAAGCGCAUUGAGGAGUGGAAGCAGCAGCAGCUGGUCAGUGGCAUGGCAGAGAGAAAUGCUAAUUUUGAAGCCCUUCCUGAGGACUGGCGAGCAAGACUAAAGAGAAGGAAAAUGGCUCCAAACACAUAGUUUAAAUUUUUUUAAAAAAUUUUGUUUUGUUUUGUGUUGGUUCAGAGUCCUAACCAGUCUUACUGUUGUCCAGUAAACUAAAUGUUAUGGGGAACGUGCGCGCUUGCUGGUGAAGCACAUUCGCCGCGUAGUGUCAUCCUCUCCUGCAGUGUCACUGUCUUGGUUUUGCCAAAGGAGGUGAUGGGACAGCUUCGACCUGGCUGGCCUUACUCCGAUGCUGGCCACCCCGGCACGGCAAGUAUGAGCCUGCCGCCUCUGCGAGGCUUAGCGACAAGUGGAGGCUUUGCCUGCCUGCUAGAGCUGAGCUCCGUCCUAAUGUGGCUCUGACUUCUACUCCGACAAGUGCAAUUAGAAGCAGCUCUGCCUGCCUUGCUUGGCUUCAGACCCCUCCGCUUACCGCCUGGGAGCGCUGAGCUGUCAGGCUGAUGUGCCCAGGAGUCCUGUCUCACAGGCUGGGAGCCCAGUCAUUUGCAUGCCAGGUGGCAGGGUUCCAUUGUGAUACAGGCAGCAGUGGCCACGGUGGUUCAGAUCCUCGGUUUUGAGAGAUUUCCCAAAUACACAGCAGGAAGUGUACCAAGGGCCACUCUGUGUCUAGUGUGUCCGUUGUACCCUGUCCCAGAGUCACCUCCCUGCUCUGUGAAUGUGGACUCCAUAAAAUUCCAGUAUUUAAAAGGCAGUUUGCUGUUGUACUUUCUGUUGUAUCACAAUCAGGUAAAGUCACUUUAAACUGAAGAAAAAACAAAUUGUGUUUUAAAGCUGUUUUUAUUUCUCCAAUUUCUGACCUUGUAAAUUUUGUAUAUAUGCACUAAUAAAACUCUUUUUAUACUUGUG